GAUGUACUCCUCCGUUCGGAAUUACUCGUCCAAGAAAUGAAUGUAUCUAGAUGUAUUUUAGUUGUAGAUACAUCCAUUUUUGUGACAAGUAAUUCCGAACGGAGGGAGUAUCUA
rnacentral:pre_miRNA from 1 species